rnacentral:rRNA from 1 species
AGGGUGACCGGCCACACUGGGACUGAGACACGGCCCAGACUCCACGGGAGGCAGCAGUGGGGAAUAUUGGACAAUGGGCGAAAGCCUGAAGGAGCGACGCCGCGUGGGGGAUGAAUGGCUUCGGCCCGUAAACCCCUGUCAUUUGCGAACAAACCUUGCCAUUUAAAAGAUGUCAGGCUGAUUGUAGCGAAAGAGGAAGGGACGGCUAACUCUGUGCCAGCAGCCGCGGUAAUACAGAGGUCCCAAGCGUUGUUCGGAUUCACUGGGCGUAAAGGGUGCGUAGGUGGUUGAGUAAGUCUAAUGUGAAAUCUCCGAGCCUAACUCGGAAACUGCAUCGGAUGCUAUUCGGCUAGAGGAUUGGAGGGGAGACUGGAAUACUUGGUGUAGCAGUGAAAUGCGUAGAUAUCAAGUGGAACACCAGUGGCGAAGGCGAGUCUCUGGACAAUUCCUGACACUGAGGCACGAAAGCUAGGGGAGCAAACAGGAUUAGAUACCCUGGUAGUCCUAGCCGUAAACGGUGCACGUUUGCUGUAAAAGGAAUCGACCCCUUUUGUGGCGAAGCUAACGCGUUAAACGUGCCGCCUGGGAAGUACGGUCGCAAGAUUAAAACUCAAAGAAAUUGACGGGGGCCUGCACAAGCGGUGGAGUAUGUGGCUUAAUUCGAUACUACGCGAAGAACCUUACCUGGCCUUGACAUGCAUAUAGUAGUAGGGUGAAAGCCUGACGAGGUAGCAAUACCAGUAUGCACAGGUGCUGCAUGGCUGUCGUCAGCUCGUGUCGUGAGAUGUUGGGUUAAGUCCCGCAACGAGCGCAACCCCUGCGUCCAGUUGCCACCCAGUCGAAAGACUGGAGCACUUUGGACGGACUGCCUCAUUUAAAUGAGGAGGAAGGUGGGGAUGACGUCAAGUCAGUAUGGCCCUUACGGCCAGGGCUGCACACGUACUACAAUGCCCGGCGCAAAGGGAAGCAAGACCGUAAGGUGGAGCAAAUCCCAGAAAACCGGGCCCAGUUCAGAUUGUCGUCUGCAACUCGACGGCAUGAAGCUGGAAUCGCUAGUAAUGGCGCAUCAGCUACGGCGCCGUGAAUACGUUCCCAGGCCUUGUACACACCGCCCGUCACAUCAUGAAAGCCGGUUGUACCCGAAGUCGCCCCUCAAAAGGUGCCGAAGGUAUGGCUGGUGAUUGGGAUGAAGUCGUAACAAGGUA